rnacentral:rRNA from 1 species
GACGGAGGAUGCAAGCGUUAUCCGGAAUGAUUGGGCGUAAAGCGCCCGUAGGCGGCAGUUCAAGUCUGCUGUCAAAGACCGGGGCUCAACCUCGGAAAGGCAGUGGAAACUGAACAGCUAGAGUAUGGUAGGGGCAGAGGGAAUUCCUGGUGUAGCGGUGAAAUGCGUAGAGAUCAGGAAGAACAUCGGUGGCGAAGGCGCUCUGCUGGACCAUAACUGACGCUCAGGGGCGAAAGCGAGGGGAGCGAAUGGG